AGCGAACGCUGGCGGCAGGCUUAACACAUGCAAGUCGAACGCGUCCUUCGGGGUCAGUGGCAGACGGGUGAGUAACACGUGGGAACGUACCCUUUGGUUCGGAAUAACGCCGGGAAACUAGCGCUAAUACCGGAUACGCCCUUUUGGGGAAAGGCUUGCUGCCGAAGGAUCGGCCCGCGUCUGAUUAGCUAGUUGGUGGGGUAAUGGCCUACCAAGGCGACGAUCAGUAGCUGGUCUGAGAGGAUGAUCAGCCACACUGGGACUGAGACACGGCCCAGACUCCUACGGGAGGCAGCAGUGGGGAAUAUUGGACAAUGGGCGCAAGCCUGAUCCAGCCAUGCCGCGUGAGUGAUGAAGGCCUUAGGGUUGUAAAGCUCUUUUGUCCGGGACGAUAAUGACGGUACCGGAAGAAUAAGCCCCGGCUAACUUCGUG
rnacentral:rRNA from 1 species